rnacentral:rRNA from 1 species
GACGUAGGGCGCGAGCGUUGUCCGGAUUUAUUGGGCGUAAAGAGCUCGUAGGCGGCUUGUCGCGUCGACUGUGAAAACCCGCGGCUCAACCGUGUGGUCUGCAGUCGAUACGGGCAGGCUAGAGUUCGGUAGGGGAGACUGGAAUUCCUGGUGUAGCGGUGAAAUGCGCAGAUAUCAGGAAGAACACCGAUGGCGAAGGCAGCUCUCUGGGACGGUACUGACGCUGAGACGCGAAAGCGUGGGGAGCGAACAGG